rnacentral:rRNA from 1 species
AGCGAACGCUGGCGGCAGGCCUAACACAUGCAAGUCGAACGAGACCUUCGGGUCUAGUGGCGGACGGGUGAGUAACACGUGGGAACGUGCCUUUAGGUUCGGAAUAGCUCAGGGAAACUUGUGCUAAUACCGAAUGUGCCCUUCGGGGGAAAGAUUUAUCGCCUUUAGAGCGGCCCGCGUCUGAUUAGCUAGUUGGUGAGGUAAUGGCUCACCAAGGCUACGAUCAGUAGCUGGUCUGAGAGGAUGAUCAGCCACAUUGGGACUGAGACACGGCCCAAACUCCUACGGGAGGCAGCAGUGGGGAAUCUUGCGCAAUGGGCGAAAGCCUGACGCAGCCAUGCCGCGUGUAUGAUGAAGGUCUUAGGAUUGUAAAAUACUUUCACCGGUGAAGAUAAUGACUGUAGCCGGAGAAGAAGCCCCGGCUAACUUCGUGCCAGCCGCCGCGGUAACAC